rnacentral:rRNA from 1 species
AUCGAUGAAGAACGCAGCGAAAUGCGAUAAGUAAUGUGAAUUGCAGAAUUCAGUGAAUCAUCGAAUCUUUGAACGCACCUUGCGCUCCAUGGUAUUCCGUGGAGCAUGCCUGUUUGAGUGUCAUGAAUACUUCAACCCUCCUCUUUCUUAAUGAUUGAAGAGGUGUUUGGUUUCUGAGCGCUGCUGGCCUUUACGGUCUAGCUCGUUCGUAAUGCAUUAGCAUCCGCAAUCGAACUUCGGAUUGACUUGGCGUAAUAGACUAUUCGCUGAGGAAUUCUAGUCUUCGGAUUAGAGCCGGGUUGGGUUAAAGGAAGCUUCUAAUCAGAAUGUCUACAUUUAAGAUUAGAUCUCAAAUCAGGAG